UCCCCCCCCCCCUUUGUUUUUUUUUUUUUCAAGAGUUGGUGUACAGUGUCAGAUCAGAGAGAAGAGUUUAAACAAUGUUUGAUGAGUGCUCAUGAGAGUUGUGGGGGUUUUUUUAUGUUUAACUUACUAAAUCUGACUUUCUUAGUAAAAAUGAAAUAACUGAAUAAAUUGUUGACAUGCUAGCAAGCACAUCAGAUUGAUCGUGGCCUCUUUAGUCUCAAGACGUAAAAUGCCACAGAAAUAAAAUAUAAUUUUCAUAUUCUUAUACACCGGAAACUUAAUAUUACUGUAAACAAAGCAAUCAACUUUACAUAAUCUUUUAUAUUGCCAGUAUAACCUUUUUGCUAAAAAUUUAGGGACAACCAAAGACAAAAAACUUUGUAAGCUUGAUACUUGUGACCCAUAAAUUUGACACUGCCCUUAUACAAUUAGUAAGGACCCUAAGUUUGGAAACUGCUAUAAAACAUUACAACUGUCUCUUUUUUUUUAUUUGUAUUUAUUUUUGAAUGGGAACAUACUGACAAAAAUGUAAUGUUUAUGUUAAUGAGCCGUUUCUAGUUUGAUAAGUAGAUCUAGCAUCGAUGUCAGUGUAAUGAAGUCCUAUAACUCUGGCUGUUAUGAUAAUGAUUGGACUUAUGAUUUCUAAUGUUGUAGUUAUUUAUUUGUUAUUGUUGUCAUUUGAAGCAGUGUAGUUUUAAAAAUAGUGAAUGGAUGUUUACAAGGCUUUUAAUGACAUAGAAUAUUGAACAAUAAAAUAAUGAAAUGGUUCUCAGUGUUGAAAGGAAACUGUCAAAGUGUUUUGUUUGUUUUUCUUCAUUCCCUCUCUACUGUCUCUGGUCAGCUUGUUUCUUUCUUUGUUGUAAUAUUAGUUUGAAAAAUGAAGUCAAUCUGGCACUGCCUGGAUCAUAAAUAAAUAUAAUUGAAGGGAAAUCAAAUUCAUUGCAGUCUCCUUAGCAGUGUUCAUUGGGGAAUUGAAUGAUGAUUUGGCCAGUCUGCAGCUUAAUGAAUGUCAUGAUGAUUUGGCAAGUCUGCAGCUUAAGGAAUGUCAUGA